rnacentral:rRNA from 1 species
UACGUAGGGACCAAGCGUUGUCCGGAAUCAUUGGGCGUAAAGAGCGUGUAGGCGGCUUGUUAAGUCUUGCGUGAAAUCUCGAGGCUCAACUUCGAGCUGUCGGUGGAAACUGUCUGGCUAGAGUCCGGAAGAGGGAGAGUGGAAUUCCACGUGUAGCGGUGAAAUGCGUAGAGAUGUGGAGGAACACCAGUGGCGAAGGCGACUCUCUGGUCCGGUACUGACGUGAGGUGCGAAAGCGUGGGGAGCAAACAGG